GCCCAGCUAGCUGAGUCAGUAGAGCAUGAGACUCUUAAUCUCAGGGUCGUGGGUUUGAGCCCCACGUUGGGCG